UACGGAGGAUGCAAGCGUUAUCCGGAAUGAUUGGGCGUAAAGCGUCUGCAGGUGGCAGUUCAAGUCUGCUGUCAAAGACCGGGGCUUAACUUCGGAAAGGCAGUGGAAACUGAACAGCUAGAGUAUGGUAGGGGCAGAGGGAAUUCCUGGUGUAGCGGUGAAAUGCGUAGAGAUCGGGAAGAACAUCGAUGGCGAAGGCGGCCUGCUGGGCUGUUGCUGACGCUGAGGCGCGACAGCGUGGGGAGCAAACGGG
rnacentral:rRNA from 1 species